GAUGAACGCUAGCGGCAGGCUUAACACAUGCAAGUCGAGGGGCAGCAUGACACGGAGAUUUGUCGAAGUGUUGAUGGCGACCGGCGCAAGGGUGCGUAACGCGUGAGCAACUUGCCCGUUUCUGGGGCAUAACCGGUGGAAACGCCGACUAAUACCCCAUAGUAUUGGAUUUAGGCAUCUUUAUCCAAUUAAAGAAAUUCGGAAACGGAUAGGCUCGCGUGACAUUAGCUAGAUGGCGGGUAACGCCCACCAUGGCGACGAUGUCUAGGGGUUCUGAGAGGAAGGUCCCCCANACUGGAACUGAGACACGGUCCAGACUCCUACGGGAGGCAGCAGUGAGGAAUAUUGGUCAAUGGUCGGAAGACUGAACCAGCCAUGCCGCGUGAAGGUCACGGCCCUAUGGGUCUUAAACUUCUUUUUGUAAGGGAGCAAAUAAGGGUUCACGUGUGGACUGAUGAGAGUACCUUACGAAUAAGCAUCGGCUAACUCCGUGCCAGCAGCCG
rnacentral:rRNA from 1 species